CUGAUGCACUUCCAGCUUUGCAACCACUACCUCCCCAAGCUUUAUGAAGAGCAGUUCCUCUUUUUGUGGGAUGAUUAUGGAUUCCUCAAUCCAGGGGAUGCUAUAGCUGCCAUUAAGGGGAUGAACAUCCUUAUGAAGACUUUAACACCUUUGGUGAGUCUGCCUCAGCACAAGAGGACUUUUAUUACUGCAUUGUAGUAGCAGGCUUGAUUCACCUUUCUUCAGGAGGCCUGAUGAAAACCACAGCAACUUACCUUGAGUGCUCUGCACCAUGCCCCUGUCCACCUGGCCACAUCUGGCACUCAUAGCCCAGAGAUAACUGGUGUGGGCACAAGGAGAUGCAGCCCCGGCUGGUGUGUCAGCACCCUCUGCAGGGUUUGGCAGACUGUAGAGGGGUGCAAUAAGUAGCUGAUUUCACUUCAGGAAAGAGCAGAAUUUUACAUUAAAAACGUGCACAGGAGGUGCAAGACAAGAGUGCAGUGGGACAUAGCAGGGCGUCAACGUCCACAUCCAUGAAGGACAAAACGGCUCCAGCUCCCUCGAGGUGAGGUUCUCUGGCACAGAGUGGCCUCUGUGGCCAUACUGCAGCUAACCAGGCUGUCCCUGCCUCACAGACACACUGAGUACUUGUUCACCAAGAGAGGCAUUUACUGUGUGUCAUCCCGGCCCAGCCCCUCUCCCCUGCUUGCAGGAGGAGCUGGUGCCUGCAGUCCUGAC